rnacentral:rRNA from 1 species
GUUAAAGGGUGUGGCUCAACCAUGCAUUGCCGUUGAAACUGGCGAUCUUGAGUGCAGACAGGGAUGCCGGAAUUCGUGGUGUAGCGGUGAAAUGCUUAGAUAUCACGAAGAACUCCGAUCGCGAAGGCAGGUGUCCGGGCUGCAACUGACGCUGAGGCUCGAAAGUGUGGGUAUCAAACAGGAUUAGAUACCCUGGUAGUCCACACAGUAAACGAUGUAUACUCGCGGUUUGCGAUAGACAGUAGGCCGCCAAGCGAAAGCAUUAAGUAUACCACCUGGGGAGUACGCCGGCAACGGUGAAACUCAAAGGAAUUGACGGGGGCCCGCACAAGCGGAGGAACAUGUGGUUUAAUUCGAUGAUACGCGAGGAACCUUACCCGGGAUUGAACUAACGGUGACGGAUCUAGAGAUAGAUUUUUCUUCGGACACCGUUGGAGGUGCUGCAUGGUUGUCGUCAGCUCGUGUCGUGAG